GCCCCCGUAGCUCAGGUGGAUAGAGCGACGGUUUCCUAAACCGCAGGCCGGCGGUUCGAGUCCGCCCGGGGGCA
rnacentral:tRNA from 3 species